ACAUCAACUCUUACUGUUCGG
rnacentral:miRNA from 1 species